GACGAACGCUGGCGGCGUGCUUAACACAUGCAAGUCGAACGGAAAGGCCCUGCUUUUGUGGGGUGCUCGAGUGGCGAAAGGGUGAGUAACACGUGAGUAACCUGCCCUUGACUUUGGGAUAACUUCAGGAAACUGGGGCUAAUACCGGAUAGGAGCUCCUGCUGCAUGGUGGGGGUUGGAAAGUUUCGGCGGUUGGGGAUGGACUCGCGGCUUAUCAGCUUGUUGGUGGGGUAGUGGCUUACCAAGGCUUUGACGGGUAGCCGGCCUGAGAGGGUGACCGGCCACAUUGGGACUGAGAUACGGCCCAGACUCCUACGGGAGGCAGCAGUGGGGAAUAUUGCACAAUGGGCGGGAGCGUGAUGCAGCAACGCCGCGUGCGGGAUGACGGCCUUCGGGUUGUAAACCGCUUUCGCCUGUGACGAAGCGUGAGUGACGGUAAUGGGUAAAGAAGCACCGGCUAACUACGUG
rnacentral:rRNA from 1 species